AUUGAACGCUGGCGGCAUGCCUUACACAUGCAAGUCGAACGGUAACGCGGGGCAACCUGGCGACGAGUGGCGAACGGGUGAGUAAUGUAUCGGAACGUGCCCAGGUGUGGGGGAUAACUGCUCGAAAGAGCAGCUAAUACCGCAUACGACCUGAGGGUGAAAGCGGGGGCUCGCAAGACCUCGCGCAAUUGGAGCGGGGGAUAUCAGAUUAGGUAGUUGGUGGGGUAAAGGGCCACCAAGCCAACGAUCUGUAGCUGGUCUGAGAGGACGACCAGCCACACUGGGACUGAGACACGGCCCAGACUCCUACGGGAGGCAGCAGUGGGGAAUUUUGGACAAUGGACGCAAGUCUGAUCCAGCCAUGCCGCGUGCGGGAAGAAGGCCUUCGGGUUGUAAACCGCUUUUGUCAGGGAAGAAAAGGGCGACUCUAAUACAGUUGCCUCAUGACGGUACCUGAAGAAUAAGCACCGGCUAACUACGUGCCAGCCGCCGCCGUAAUAC
rnacentral:rRNA from 1 species